CACUUCCCUCCCUGGAUCUUUCCGGUCAUAGUCAAUUUUCUUCACCGGAAACGACGCUUUUAACAGCUGCCGGAUCACCGAAAGUCCAGCGUAAUAACGUUAAUAACAGCACACUCUGCCGACGGCCCGAUGUGACGCUCUCUUGUGCCGACAGUCCGGCCGGCACCGCCCCUUCAUUUUCGCUCGGUAUCUGUAGUCUAUCAUAGGCGGUUAACUUAGGGUGCCAUCACUAACCUUGG
rnacentral:lncRNA from 1 species